GAAAUAUUUGGAAUCCACAUAUCGGACGAAGAACUAGUAUCUAGAAUAUAUACAUAAUUUAAAAUGCAACACUUUUUAAAAAAAGAAACAGUACAGUUAGGAAAACAGCAAAGGGCAUGAACAGAUAUUUUACCUAAGAUAAUGUAAAAUGGCAACUAAGUACAUGAAAAGAUAUUCAACAUCAGUAGACAUUAAGAAAAUAAAAUUUAAACCGAUAAUUAAAUAAUACUACACACACAAAUAACAGAAUGGCUAAUAUGAAAAAUAGUGACAACAUUAAAUACUUGUGAGGAGGCAGAAAACCAGAAAAACAUAUUGCUGGUGGGAAUGGAAAAUGGUACAGCCACUUGUAAAAAUAAUUGUUUGGGGCUGGGAGCUGUGGCUCACACCUGUAAUCUCAGCACUUUGGGAGGCCAAGGCGGGCAGAUCACCUAAAGUCAGGAGUUUGAGACCAGCUGGCCAAUAUGGGGAAACCUCAUCUCUACUAAAAAUACAAAAAAAAAAAAAAAUAGCUUGGCAUGGUGGCAGGUGCCUGUAAUCCCAGCUACUUGGGAGACUGAGGCGGGAGAAUCGCUUGAACCUGGUAGGCAGAGGUUGCAGUGAGCCGAGAUUGCACCACUGCGCUCCAGCCUGGGUGCAAGAGAAUGAGACUCCCUCAGAAAAUAAAUAAAUAAAUAAAUAAAAAAGAAAGGAAAAAAAAAGGAAAAGCUAAGAAAAAAUUGUUUGCCAGUUUCUUGUAAAACUGCACAUGCAAUUACCAUAUUACCCAGCAAUUGAAAUCUUGUUCAUUUGUCCCACAGCAAUGAAAUUCCAUGUUCAUCAAAAAACCUGCAUAUGAAUGCCAAUAUAGCAGCUGUACUUGUGAUAACCUAAAACUGGAAACAGCCAAGAUUUCCUUCAAAAGAGGAAUGGUUAAACAAUGAGAGCUGAGGAACAUGAAGCUUGGGAAGCCUGCCUUGUAUAGAAAAUGGUUAGCAGGCCUGUUCAUUAUCCCCAAGAGAAAAACUGUAUCAUUCAUCAAUGGUGUCCACUGCAAAUGCAGCACUGUCAAAAGUCCAGAGUGCAAAGGUUUCUAAAUCUGGAAGGAGCUCAGGUUACCACCUGCUUGAGCUUGGUCAGACUGAGCACUCACACAAUGUCAGGAAAAGUGAAUUUAUUACUUACAAAUAGGCAGCAAGGAUAAAAAGAAGCCUAGGAUCCGUGACACUCUGGUUUUUCCAGGACUUAGGAAAGCUGCCCAGUGCAGAUGGAGAUCUGAGAGACCCCAGAAUGCUCUGCCCUGCGAUUAUUCAUCCUGGAUAUAACUACAAACUCACUGAGCUCAAUCAAGGAUUGCAAAACAUCCUGUUCCCAGAGGAAUGAGGACUCAUUCCAGAUGGUUCUGGACACUUUAUCCUUUUCUAAGGAUGUUGCAUUCUUGGAACAUUCUGUGGUUUCUACCAACAACUGCAAGAAAAGGGAAAAAGCCAGAAGUGGCCAAGGCCAUCUGGGGACCUAUUCUCCUACACAGAGUGAACAGUGGUCAGAGACUUGAUUUAUCAUCAAGAGCCUAUAAAAAGGCUCAAGGCCCAUCUGAGUUUGCUCUGGCUUCUGUGAGAAUAUACUAUUUACGAAAUGAUUUAAACAAUAGAUAUUUAUUUCUCACAGUUCUUGAGUUUGGAAGACAUGUGAAUUUUGAGGGGUGCACAGUUCAGUCCAUAGCAAGGUUUAUGCCAGAUUGCCUCUUCUAACACUGAGAGAUUGAAUAAUAUAAUAACUGAAAAGUAUAACCCUGGAUUUAGCAACUAUGAGGCUAGCAGUAAAUUUGGAAUUAAGUUUUCAGUGGUGUGUUGUAGGCAGAAGUCAGAUUAGAAGGGAGUGAGAUGUAAGUAGGAAGUUGAGAAAGUAUAGACAAAACACAGCUUAGAAAAUAACUUCACCUGCAAUGAGUUCAUUAGUGUUAAUGUGUUCAUGGUGUUAAUUGCACAUAUUUUUCCUAUUUUCUAAGAUUAUUUCAAAGUUAUGAAGAAUCUGACUUUGACUUAUUGUCAUAAUUCUAAAAGCUUUGAUGUGAAUAUUAUUUACAUUAAAUGAAGCUUACUACAUUUUGCAGUACAACCCUAAACUAGAUAGAUAGAUAGAUAGAUAGAUAGAUAGAUAGCUAAAAAGGUAAAUAUAAACAUACACGUGUAUACAUAGUUCUUUGUUAUUGAUGUUGUUUCGUUUGAUAAACAUAGUAUCAUUUUCUAAUGACUACUUGCUUAUUAAGGCCAUUUAAUUAGGACAGCAGGACAACUAUCACUUAUUGAAUGUCUCCUCUAUGCUACAAUUAACAUGUUUAUCUCUUUCAAUCCUCAUAGCAAUCUUGUGAUAUGGAUGCUUUUAAAUUACCAUUUUAUAUACCCAUUAUUAUGUGGGUGAACCUUACUUUAAAGCCCACUCUUCUGAUUCCUAGUCUAAUGUUCUUUUCCCUACAGUAUACUGUCUUAGAGGAAUAGUUAUGGCUUAUAUACUUUAGCACUAAGGAAAUCAAGAAAUUUAGUAUUCAGAAAGGAAGAGGUGGAGGAAAAAUGAGAUCAAAGACCACUGUAAUGGUAUUCUCAGAUGCCUGUCACUUUAAUCAUUGAGAAAAAGAGGAAAAUACGUAGAUAUAGUAUUUUUACUUUUUAUACAAAAUAACAUGCAUAACUUUAGUGACAAACUUUCUAGAACUCAAAUUUGAGAUUCAAGCAAAAUGUGUCACAAAACUCUUUACUAAUGAAGAUACUGUUAACUUCUCAGCAUACAAAGGUUAUAUGUGACACUUUUUAAUGAUGAAAACCUCUGAAUUUGAAAUAGCUGUUCCUCAAUUUAAUUAAAAGGAAUCUUUCCUAGACCUUUGAAGGAACAGUCAGCAAAAUCAUUAGCCAGUACAUUAGCAGGAUGAAAGAUAUUUUUUUUCAUUAGACGUAAGAAACAUUAGAGUUUGUAACAUUGCUAAGACAACUGUACCAUUUUAAAAAGAGAAUCAUGGAGCAAUGCUGUUAAUAUUAUUUCCAGAGUCUAUAUCAGGAGAUAUAAUUGAGAGGAUUAACUUCCCUCAUACAUUGCUGCUCUUUUACAGUGGUUAUCUCAUAUACUGAGAUAACAUAACUUCUCAUACAUUGAGACAGUGAAAACUAUCAGAAAAUUGAAAACACAGUGGUGCAGAGUACUCACUUGCAGUCAGACUCAACAGUGUUGAAAGUACAGAUCUUUCACUUAAAAGAUAUAUAUCAUUUGAAACAUUGCUUAACCCCUCUAAAUGUCAAUUCCUCACUUUUGCAAUGUAUAUGAUAAAUAUUAACAUAUUUUGUUAGGAUAAUGACAGUGUCAUUAUCAUUAGCAAGUUGUAUGUAUAAUAAAGGCCCUUUUAAAAUAAUUGUUAGGAGUGAUUUAAAUGUUUUCUAGUAAUGUAGAUUAGAGAGUUCAGAAACUCACUAGAAAUCAGUCUCUAGACCAUGCUUGACUCCUCCUGAGAGAUAGAUUUUUUAAAAAGCCCCCAAAUAAAGAAAAUAUUAAGUAUGAUACAGCAAGUUAUGUAUCGAUAGAUGAUACUCAACUUCUUUUGGCAUGGCAUCAGAAAGGAAUCAAGGUGUGCUUAAGAGCAAUGGAAUUCUUUUAGAAGUCUCUAUUUUUAAAAAGGUAGGUCAGCACAAAUGACUUUUUUAUAACUUGAGUAAUGAUUUUUCUUAUUCUCUGUUCUGUACCAUCUGAAGGAAAUUAGGACCAUGCCUUGUCUACUUGUUGUUAAAUUAGACAUAUGAAGAAAACAAAAUUUGGGGCUCUUUUAGAAUAUAAUUUUCUUUUCUUUCUCUAAACUUUUGAAAACUAGAGUCUUGAUAAUAAAAAUAUUUUAUAAUUGAACACAAUUAAUAAAUAUCUCAAAUACAUUCAAAAACAGUCUGAUAUUUAUGACAUAGUAUCUCUCCUGAACUAUUCCUAGACUGAGGGGGUCAUUCUGGAUUAAUAUGAACUCCUUAAAUCCUCAAGACAAAACUGGGUUGGAAUGAUGGAUUCUCCAUUUAUUAGAUUGGUAUAGUCUUGCCACAGUAUUUUGCUGCCUAGGAAAAAUGCAUACUGAUCUCUAUACUACUGGUUAGAAAGGUCUGCUAGGUAGCUAGAUGUGCCGCUAGUAAAAUCCUGUAAUGAGCGAAUGUAUGGAAAAGAACAUAUUGUCAGAUACAUUUUUGACUUAAUGAUUUAGAUUGGCCCUUUUAUCCCUCUUCAUGUUGUAUUAGCAUACUAAAGAAGUAAUAUUGUAUGAUUCUUUACAUAAUUUUCUACCUUAGUCUACCUUGAAGGACUAAUGUCCAGCUAAUCAAUGAACAAAGAAACACCAGGCUUCCAGGUUGAUAUGGUUUGGCUCUAUGUCCCCACCCAAAUCUCAUGUUGAAUUGUAAUCCUCAGUGUUGAAGGAGGGACCUGGCUGAAGGUGAUUGGAUCAUGCUGGUGGAUUUCCCCAUUACUGUUCUCAUUAGAGCGAAUGAGCUCUCACGAGAUCUGGUUGUUUAAAUGUGUGUAACACCUCCCCCUUCACUCUCUCUCCUGCUCUGGCCAUGUGAAUACUGUGCUUGCCUCCCCUUCACCUUCUGCCAUGAUUGUAAGUUUCCUGAGGCCAUCCAAGCCAUGUGUCCUGAACAGCCUGUGGAACUUUGAGCCAAUGAAACCUCUUUUCUUCAUAUACUACUCAGUCUCAGGUAGUUCUUUAUAGUAAUGCGAGACUGGACCAAUACACAGGUUAAAUUGCUGACAGGGCAUAUGGAAAUGUUCUCCUCUAUCACUUAAAGAUAAAUGAAAACAAGAGAAGGAAGCAACUCCCAAAUAGUAAGGAGAAUGUGAGGAAAGUGAACAGCAAAAUUGAGAUGUUGCGUUACCAGUAACAACAAUAAAGAAUAGCCACAGGCUCAGAAGAGACUUGAAUCAGAAAUUAGAGGUGAUCUUUCUGCAGAGAUCUGAAGGGACUACAAAUUAGGAAUCAGUGAGAAGAGAUGGUAGGUUAAAAGUAUGGGACAGAAAUGUGUAGCAAUUCCUCUCUAGGGAAUGUCUAUAGAUUAGCUUUACCGCCUGACAUCACUGUUCACCCAUGCAUGGUAUUUACUUCCAGGCAAAAUCAUUUGCACUGUUUGACCUUUACAAUUGCAAAAUAUGCCUGGAGACAUCAGAGAUGUCUCAUGGGUAUUGAUACCCCACAAAGUUCCUCUCCAUAUUGUUGCACAGAGGUUAGGGAGGGGCAAUUAUUAGCCAUUGAUUUAUUCAUUCUUUCUACAAAUAUUUGUGCAGGUAGUCUUCUAGAUUUUGAGAAUAUAGAAGUUAAUCAAACAAUCAAAACCCUCUGGCAUCAUGAGUGUGUAUUCUGCAGGAGGAAGGGAAAGAAAGCCAAUAAAUGCAUAAAUAGAUAUAUUGUAUAUAUUGUAUGUAUGGAUAUGUGGUAUGGAGGAUAUGAAACAGGCAAG
rnacentral:lncRNA from 1 species